UACGUAGGGUGCAAGCGUUAAUCGGAAUUACUGGGCGUAAAGCGUGCGCAGGCGGUUUUGUAAGUCUGUCGUGAAAGCCCCGGGCUUAACCUGGGAAGUGCACUCGAUACUGCUUAGCUUGAGUGUCGGAGAGGUUGGUGGAAUUCUCGGUGUAGAGGUGAAAUUCGUAGAUAUCGAGAGGAACAUCGGCGGCGAAGGCGGCCAACUGGACGAACACUGACGCUGAGACUCGAAAGCGUGGGGAGCAAACAGG
rnacentral:rRNA from 1 species